rnacentral:misc_RNA from 1 species
AACCUUAUGGACCUGCGGGCGUAUACCUGCGGAAGGAUCAUUACCAAGAAGUGAGAAAUCGCUUUUCUACCUGCUCGGUGGCCUUCACAGGUCGCUGACUGGUCAACCCUUUGAGAACCAAAAAAACCUUUCGCUUCGGCAGCUGGGCCCCAACCGGCCCGUCAGCCUGCCGCUAGCACCCAACCAGGAAACCUGUUGUCAAAACAUUGUCUGAUAACCAAAUUUUCGAAUGAAAAUCAA